UACGUAGGUGGCAAGCGUUGUCCGGAAUUAUUGGGCGUAAAGCGCGUGCAGGCGGCCUCCUAAGUCCGAUGUGAAAGCCCACGGCUCAACCGUGGAGGGUCAUUGGAAACUGGGGGACUUGAGUGCAGAAGAGGAAAGCGGAAUUCCACGUGUAGCGGUGAAAUGCGUAGAGAUGUGGAGGAACACCAGUGGCGAAGGCGGCUUUCUAGUCUGUAACUGACGCUGAGGCGCGAAAGCGUGGGGAGCAAACAGG
rnacentral:rRNA from 1 species